UCGGGGUAAAAUAGUGAGAAGCCGACAUGGGGAAGUGAUCAACCAUUGGGAUAAGUUUAUAUUUGCUUUUUUUUACUCCAUAAACUUUUUACCGUGGGUAAAAAGAUUCAUCUUGGGGUAUAAAAAAAAAUCAAAUUUAAAUUUAGCCCAAGAGUUGAUGAUGUAUUUUCCACAUGAAGGCUGCUCACUAUUUUACCCCAU
rnacentral:pre_miRNA from 1 species